AACCAUUCUCACCUGCGGCUAGACCUGCGGAAGGAUCAUUACAAGAUUCUAACAGUUCUAGCCCAUAAAAAGGCUAUGAGCUAUUCAACCCUUUGUGAACCAAAAACCUUUUCGCUUCGGUAGCAGGCUUGAAUUAAUUUCUAUGCCGUUAGCCUACCGGCAGCAUCAAAUUAUUAAACUUGACCUUUUGAAUUUUGUCUGAAUAUUAAAUUUUGAAUAAAAAUUAAAACUUUCAACAAC
rnacentral:misc_RNA from 1 species